rnacentral:misc_RNA from 1 species
AUUAAUAACUUCCUCUAUUCUCUAUUGUUGACAAAUUUUAAUUCUUUUGAAUGUGUGUGUAAGUUCAAUUAUUUUCAAGGUGUUUGAUUUGCUGUAUGUUCAAUUGGUGAUUAAUUCCUUUACUUAAUAAUUAUUCUAUGAAAAUUGCUAGAUUUUUUCAAUUUGUUUUGAUAGAAUUAAUUAAUUUAUUUUUUUCUUCUAAACAUUGUUUAUUAAUUUCUUAAAUAUGUUAUGAA